rnacentral:rRNA from 1 species
AGUGAACGCUGGCGGUAGGCCUAACACAUGCAAGUCGAACGGCAGCACAGUAAGAGCCUGCUCUUACGGGUGGCGAGUGGCGGACGGGUGAGGAAUACAUCGGAAUCUACUUUUUCGUGGGGGAUAACGUAGGGAAACUUACGCUAAUACCGCAUACGACCUACGGGUGAAAGCAGGGGAUCUUCGGACCUUGCGCGAUUGUAUGAGCCGAUGUCGGAUUAGCUAGUUGGCGGGGUAAAGGCCCACCAAGGCGACGAUCCGUAGCUGGUCUGAGAGGAUGAUCAGCCACACUGGAACUGAGACACGGUCCAGACUCCUACGGGAGGCAGCAGUGGGGAAUAUUGGACAAUGGGCGCAAGCCUGAUCCAGCCAUACCGCGUGGGUGAAGAAGGCCUUCGGGUUGUAAAGCCCUUUUGUUGGGAAAGAAAAGCAGCAGGUUAAUACCCCGCUGUUCUGACGGUACCCAAAGAAUAAGCACCGGCUAACUUCGUG